rnacentral:lncRNA from 1 species
ACGGCCCAAUAGCUGAAGGCCUGGUAAACUACUCCGCCGCCAAGAGGCCCUAGCAAGGCAGCAUUUCCACCUCGCCGCCGCCGUCAUUGCCGCCGCGGCGCGGGCGUUUGCUCCGCGACGAGGACUCGAUGAGGGGAAAUGUCUCCAGCGUCAUCUCCGGCGGCGACGAGGUGAGCAUACAAGAUACGCUCCUAUCCCACGAUCUCCCUUCCCUUCUGGUUGCAUUUGCAUCUACUGUCAUGUUAUUGCUGUACAUAAGAGCUUGGUGUUUCGAUUAACGAAAUUGUAUCUUUGUAAUGGCAAUUGUAGCUAGUUGCAAAUGUUGCGGAGAGCUUGUGGAUCCAAAGACCCAGUGCCUCGAUUUCUUCUUUUUUUCUUUUGAGUUGCUGUGCACAAGCGCAUUUCUUUCUUCUCCAGUAUUUCAACAGCUAAGCAAUGGUAGGGUGUGAUGUCUGUGAGGAUAUUUGCAUACUUACCAACUUACUUACUAUACUAUAUAACAAAUGGAAUGAAGUGGGCAACCUUGGGUUCAUCUGUUAUUUGGUUGUGGAACCGGUCACAAUUUUAUAUCGAUAUGAUUGCAACUACAUAGUCUUAUAAUCCUAACUAAUCUAUCUCAAGUUAGGCCGUUUGGUCAUGUUUUCUAGAAAUGCAAUCUGCAAUACUAGUGGCGCUUACGUUUUAGAUAUGAUUAUUAUUAGUUAGGUACAUAAAAUCUACAGUUUGAUGUCAUCAUUGGACCAUUUUAUGCAAGUUAAUUAUGUUCACUUAUGCAUAUAUACUGGAUAAGUUGAAGGAAUGAAAUUUCUGUAUAUUAAAGUUUCUACUUACAGGUUACUUUUAACAAUAAAUUGAGAGAGCCUAGUCUGAUUAUAAGCUUCACGUUCCCCAUUAUGUACCAACUUCUUUGUAACUUGUCAUUAGAGAACUUUCUUUGGGACAUUGAGCUAUCACCAUCACAAUGUUAGGUGACAGAAUAAGAUCUUUGGCUUAAUAUUGAAAGGCUAUGUUAAGAUUCAAUGACUAGAUUUCUGGUGUACUGCGCUUGGUUAUCCCCCGACCCCUCCUAAUACUGUCUGCUGGCAAUGGGUUGCACUGAAGCCUUUUUCUUUCUGAAGUGUCAAAACUGUCAUAUUGUGGCAGAACUGAUGCUCUCUAGCCUCCCAGUUCUUUUUACAAGUUGUAUCUUGUCAUCUCUGUAAUAGUACCAUGUUAAGGAACCCUGUAAUUUUUUUUCUUCCUGUCAUAAUAUAUAAAACGGCAGAACUCCCGCCUUCUCUCAAAAAUUAUGUUGUAGUUGUUCAGUACGCUUCCCUGUGUAUGGCUGAUCUUAUCCAUGGAUCUUGCCCAUGCAUCAUGGAGCAUGUAUGUUUUAUCUGAUGCUGGAUCAUUUUCAUUUAUAUAGUAUUUGUCAUAUACCAAUUGCUAGUUAUUUAUUUAUUAAUUAGGAUUUAGGAGUUAGCAACCACAUCUGAAAAUGGCAUAUUAAUAUUUGAAAGUACUCGAUGUGUAGUAUCUGCCGUGGUCUGUGGAAGUCAUACUGGGUAAUAGUUUGGAGUGAAGUGUUUUAUGUCCUGUUACACAUGUCUUUUUAAUCCAAACAAAUGGACAGAACUUUGAUCUGUUGGCACUUACUGCCUUGCAGGCUUUCCAAGUGAUCAACGAUCCUGCUAGUGUGAGUUCUCCCUAUGUAUUACUCUAUAUUGGCAUUUAUCCUUUUAAGUGCCAUCUCCUUCAGACUUCAGUGAGCAAGUAGCAUUUUGGUCUUCCUAGCAAGUAGCAACAUAUCAUCACAAAAUCAGAUCUUAUGAUCUUGUGGUGUUUUUAAUUUCUUCUCCUAAUUUGUUUAGGAGUCAUAAAUGCACCAAAGAGAGGAUGUUUGUUUCUUUAUUUAUGACGGAAGUGACUGAAUUAACGGAAUAAAACACCAUUGUAAUAGUCUGGCACUCUGCUGCUGCUAGUACUGCAUUUGUGUUACUUAAA